ensembl:lncRNA
GAUAUGAAUGAGUAGAUAGGACACGCCCCCUUUGAGCUGCGUGCUACAGCGAGGCUAAGCUAGUGGGGGCAAAGUUUCAGUGCAUUCUGUUGAUGUAGACGGCGUGAAAACGGAAACAACAAGUAUGCCGGCUCACUGUGCUGCAUACAGUUACACACUACGUCGUACGAUUGAGACAAGGAAACUUGGAAUGACUUUUCAUAGGUUUCCCAGAGACUAUGGGUUGAGGAGGAAUUGGAAGUUUGUUGGCUUAGACCUGGUGUCAUUCCAUCAGUGUUAAACUUCCCGGCUCAUCUUGGAAGAGUACGUGCCAGAAAGACCAUGACCAAGCAGCCUUGAGAUCUUAGGCAGCAUCUCCCUGAGGUCCCUCUCGAUCUCCCCACACAUCCACCAACCACUGGAAC